AGUGAACGCUGGCGGCGUGCUUAACACAUGCAAGUCGAACGAGAACGGAUUAUAGCUUGCUAUAAUUGUCAGCUAAGUGGCGCACGGGUGAGUAAUGUAUAGGUAAUAUGCCUCUUACUAAGGGAUAACAAAUGGAAACGUUUGCUAAUACCUUAUACUCCUUAUUAACAGAAGUUAAUAAGGGAAAGAUUUAUUGGUAAGAGAUUAGCCUGUAUUGUAUCAGUUAGUUGGUGGGGUAAUGGCCUACCAAGACUAUGACACAUAACUGGUUUGAGAGGAUGAUCCGUCACACUGGAACGGGGACACGGUCCAGACUCCUACGGGAGGCAGCAGUGGGGAAUAUUGCACAAUGGACUAAAGUCUGAUGCAGCAACGCCGCGUUGAGGAUGACACAUUUCGGUGCGUAAACUCCUUUUAUAUUAGAAGAUAAUGACGGUAUUAUAUGAAUAAGCACCGGCUAACUCUGUGCCAGCCGCCGCCGUAA
rnacentral:rRNA from 1 species